CACAAGCGGUGGAGCAUGUGGUUAAUUCGAAGCAACGCGAAGAACCUUACCAGGCCUUGACAUGCAGAGAACUUUCCAGAGAUGGAUUGGUGCCUUCGGGAACUCUGACACAGGCGCUGCAUGGCUGUCGGCAGCUCGUGUCGUGAGAUGUUGGGUUAAGUCCCGUAACGAGCGCAACCCUUGUCCUUAGUUACCAGCACGUUAUGGUGGGCACUCUAAGGAGACUGCCGGUGACAAACCGGAGGAAGGUGGGGAUGACGUCAAGUCAUCAUGGCCCUUACGGCCUGGGCUACACACGUGCUACAAUGGUCGGUACAAAGGGUUGCCAAGCCGCGAGGUGGAGCUAAUCCCAUAAAACCGAUCGUAGUCCGGAUCGCAGUCUGCAACUCGACUGCGUGAAGUCGGAAUCGCUAGUAAUCGUGAAUCAGAAUGUCACGGUGAAUACGUUCCCGGGCCUU
rnacentral:rRNA from 1 species